rnacentral:lncRNA from 1 species
GGCCGCAUGAGCCCUAGAGCAGUGCCCUAAAGAUCAUGCAAGGCCUAAGAUAAACAACAAUUCGAUAAUUCCACAGUUAAUCACUUAAAUCAAAUAUAUAAAUCCAACUUGACCAGAUAAUCAAAUUGGUUCAUUUACAAAAGCUUUCAAUAUUCAUUGAUAUCAAGAUAGACUAAGCAACUAAUGACUCUCAUACUCGCACUCUGCGCUCAUCCCAUCCAUGUCUAUGCAUCCUGCAACUCUGAAAAAAAGAAAGAAGAAGGGGUAUGAGCUUUUCCAGCCCAGUAAGAAUCCCAACAGCCACAUACCGUAAUAAUAAUAAAAUAAUCAAAACAUCAAAUAAAUGCCAUUUCAUCUUUUCAAAAGCUCAACAAACAACAAGUGUAUAUAAUCAGUACAU